GGACUACUAGGGUUUCUAAUCCUGUUCGCUCCCCACGCUUUCGCACCUGAGCGUCAGUAUAUGGCCAGUUGCCUGAUUUCUCCCUUGGUCUUCCUGCCGAUCUCUACGCAUUUCACCACUACACCGGCAAUUCGAGCAACCUCUCCAUAACUCUAGUCGUGCAGUUUGGCAUGGCGUCAAUCAGUUAAGCUGAUUGGUUUCACACACCACUUGCACAACCGCCUACGUGCGCUUUACGCCCAGUAACUCCGGACAACGCUUGCCCCCUCUGUAUUACCGCGGCGGCUGGCACC
rnacentral:misc_RNA from 1 species